rnacentral:tRNA from 1 species
GCGGAUGUGGCGGAACUGGCAGACGCGCUAGAUUUAGGUUCUAGUAUCACACGAUGUGCAGGUUCGAUUCCUGUCAUCCGCA